UUUUCUGCCCCGUGUUCUUGCCGCCGCCACCUCCGUUGCCCCCGUAUUGCUUGAUAUACGAUAUUUUUGGUGUCAAGUGCUUUGUCAUUUGGUGCUGUUUGCACUAUGUAUACACCUAGUGGGGCCAUGAAGAGGCAAUGCCGUUUCUGCAACGACUCCCUCCCCGGAAAUGGACGCUUCAUGAAAUGCUCCGAAUGUAUUGACGCAACGUAUUGCCUGUAUUGAUGCAACGUCAAUCCCCAUCAGCAACCAUUCGUGGCCCUUUUCAUUCACCUGGUGUGUCCUGAUGGCCAACGACCCUCUCCCCCAGAGGAACUGCUGCUCGAAGGUUCCACGAGUGAAAAGAAGAUCACUGAGGUUUCUUGUUACACCCAGGAGAAGAGGGGAGGGUGGCUUUAUUGAUCAUCGGCCAUAGGGAUGAGAGGCACCAGCGGACUUGAUAUUAGUCUUGAUGGCACUUGGCAUUUUCCCGGCUGGGUGCACUGGCACAAAGAAAGAAAACUGUUCAGAUAAUGUGCCCGACGGACACUGACAGACAUGCACACAGCAAAAACGUGCUUGUGAACCUAGCCUCCUGGCAUUAAGAAUGGGUCAUGCCUUAGUAGCCAAUAAAUUAUGAAGUAAUUUGUUAUAAUACUUGUUGAACUCUUUCCAGUUUUGCUGCCUGGAAACAGAUGUGUCAUAGGUAACCCAGGCUAAAAAUUACACCUUCUAUUGCUUGCCUCCACAGUGCAUACACACAACAAAAUACUACACAAAAGCACAGUGCACCAUAGCAAAUGGAGCUGAGAAAAACAAAUCAACAAUUAGUUUGAGAAACACACAUUGCAUGAUUCAUAUUGUCAACAUUACCAAAAAUCUGCCCAAAUGGUUUGUAUAUCAACUAAGUGAAAAUCUGGUUGCAGCAAGAACUCUGCAACGCCUGGCAUCUAACUUUACCUUUUUUAUUCUCAGGUGAGUACACUUGAACUUUUUUAAAUGUUUCCCAACCCACUGUGAUGGCUUAGCGGCUAUGGCAUUGCACUGCUAAGCAUGAGAUUGCAAGUUUGAUGUCCAGCCACGUUUUGAUGGGGGCGAAAUGUUACUUGGGUUAAAGUGCACGUUAAAGAACCCCAGUUCGUCAAAAUUAAUUCUGCGUCUCCCACUAUGCAGUGCCUCAUAAUUGUAUUGUGGCUUUGGCAUGUAAAACCCUAAAAUUAAAUUUUUUUUGUAGUUGUUUUCCAGGAUUAGGCCUAGUGUGCUUACAAAGUAUGUAACAAUUAAUGCCACUUCUGGACAGCAUGACAGACUUUAGCACUAGAACUAAGUUUAGGCCAGAUUCUUCAGAGCUGUCGUGCAAUAAGCACCAAUGCUGUGGGUAAACACCUAAUGCAACACACGCACUACCAGAGACAUGGUAGCGGCGGGCUCUGAAUUAAUUCUGACCACCUGUGGUUUUUUAACAUGCGCAAAAAGCAAAAAAGCAUUCUCGCAUUCCGCCCGGAUCAGAACGUAGCUGCUGAUGCCGUAGCCGCUUGCGUCAGUGUGUGCUACUGUGGCACUAGUAGCAGUAAUGCAUUGCUAAGCGAGGACAGUGUGGCAAUUUCAAGAGCGUGCAUAAUGCACUGAUUAAGUAAUGAGCCACAGCAUAGCAUGACGUGGCUCAUAUCCAGUCACUGAGUCACCCUGCAGUAGUCGCAGAAAACCAGAUGCCCAACGUAUUAUUACGAUACGCAGAUGCUGAAGAGGCAAGGAAAAUGAGGAGGAGCUUGGCAUUGACGCGAGCCAUUUUCCACCUUGGUCCCUGGCGAGCCCGCUCUUGUAAAUACACUGCCAAGCAGUUUC
rnacentral:lncRNA from 1 species